GGGGCUGAUUCUGGAUUCGACGGGAUUUGCGAAACCCAAGGUGCAUGCCGAGGGGCGGUUGGCCUCGUAAAAAGCCGCAAAAAAAUAGUCGCAAACGACGAAAACUACGCUUUAGCAGCUUAAUAACCUGCUUAGAGCCCUCUCUCCCUAGCCUCCGCUCUUAGGACGGGGAUCAAGAGAGGUCAAACCCAAAAGAGAUCGCGUGGAUGCCUGCCUGGGGUUGAAGCGUUAAAACGAAUCAGGCUAGUCUGGUAGUGGCGUGUCCGUCCGCAGGUGCCAGGCGAAUGUAAAGACUGACUAAGCAUGUAGUACCGAGGAUGUAGGAAUUUCGGACGCGGGUUCAACUCCCGCCAGCUCCACCA
rnacentral:tmRNA from 1 species